UACUCUGAUACCUAAACCACAGAAUGGUC
rnacentral:misc_RNA from 1 species